UCUAGUUUACAAAAACGAAAAAAGCUCAGGAGGGAAGAACAAAUGGCGGCAAAAUAAAACGAUGCGAAAAAAUUAGAGAAAAGAAAUCAGUUUAAAGAGUCAAAACCUAAAGAAGCCAUAAUAUGCUUUCAAAACUCUCUGCAUUUUUCUUAAGAUCCCGAAUAUAUCCCUCCCUCAAUUCUCUCUAAUUUUCUUACUCAUCCUUGUAAUCGCUUUUAUGAUCGUACAAAUAAAGGUUCAUACAAAGGGUGAGAUCAACUAUUUAACAGCAAGGUGUUAACUGCAGUUCACAACAGAGAUAGGAUUUAUACCAUACUAGAUAAAUUAAAUGGGAAAGUGUGUGCAGAAGUUAACUGUCUUUUUGCUUUUUCAAAUAAACAUUGAUAUCAGAAGUUGUUUCUGCAUGCAACAGGUGGGUAACAUUUUAGUUGUGAUCUUGUUGGUGAAAAAUCAAGGUGACUAUAUCUUUGCGAAAUUGGUUUACUGUCUUCUGGAUACAACAAUAAAGUAGCAGGCAUUUCAGAGAUGUUAGUUUUGCCUGAAUCAGGUAUUUUUUUACACACUAGAUCUUUAUUAUUAACAAGCUUUUGAGCUCCUCAUGUAAAGACCAUGCCAUUACAGACACUGAAAAAAUUUUAAGGAAUCAUGAUCUUCUAAAAGACUUGGUGAUAAUUCAUGGAGGUCGGGCUACAGCUUGAUGCAGACAUCAGGCCCUACAAGAGCUUACACUUUGCCGCCUAGAUACAAUGGCAAAAGGGAAACGUAGAUGUUAGAAGCAGUGUCUUUUCUCUGGAUGGUGUGUUUGGUAAUUAAAGAACUAAAAGUAACAUUUCAUACCUUUCCAAAAGCAGUACUGAAUUCCCUCAGUUGAAAGUCCUGGUAGACAUGGAUUAGUUUUAUGUUCCAAAGUAUACAGUUCGUCUAGGUUUGGUACUUGGUUACAUCAUGAUUGGGAAAAUAUCCACUUACACAUAGUGCUCUGUCCGUAGCCUGCUCACAUUCUUCAAUU